AUCCAGAAAACCGCCAUGCCACCACUGAUUGCCAGCCUAGCACAUCCCGUCAUAGAUCUUCAGAGCAGGAAUCGUCGUCCUCGAGUUCUGUCUGUUACCGCUCAGCAUUGUCGACGACCCAAAUUUUGCGGCAUUUAUAAAGUGUAUCGACCCAAGAAUAGCUUUUCCUUGCCGAAACACGAUCACUUAUAAUUAUCUCCCGGCGUUGUACGAAGAAGCUCGUCUUAAAUUGAUUCGCGAGUUAGAAAGAGUGGAAUACGUCGC